rnacentral:rRNA from 1 species
UACGUAGGUGGCAAGCGUUGUCCGGAUUUACUGGGCGUAAAGGGUGCGUAGGCGGACCUUUAAGUGAGAUGUGAAAUCCCCGAGCUUAACUUGGGGGCUGCAUUUCAAACUGGAGGUCUAGAGUGCAGGAGAGGAGAGUGGAAUUCCUAGUGUAGCGGUGAAAUGCGUAGAGAUUAGGAAGAACACCAGUGGCGAAGGCGACUCUCUGGACUGUAACUGACGCUGAGGCACGAAAGCGUGGGGAG